GGCUGGUCCAAAGGUAGUGAGAUCUCACGAUUGCUACAGCACAAUUACUGGUCGACCUAUUUGUCUACCCACCCCACACUACUGCACUUGACUAGUCUUAA
rnacentral:Y_RNA from 1 species